GACGAACGCUGGCGGCGUGCCUAAUACAUGCAAGUAGAACGCUGAAGAGAGGAGCUUGCUCUUCUUGGAUGAGUUGCGAACGGGUGAGUAACGCGUAGGUAACCUGCCUGGUAGCAGGGGAUAACUAUUGGAAACGAUAGCUAAUACCGCAUAAAAUUGAUUAUUGCAUGAUAAUUAAUUGAAAGAUGCAAUUGCAUCACUACCAGAUGGACCUGCGUUGUAUUAGCUAGUUGGUGAGGUAACGGCUCACCAAGGCGACGAUACAUAGCCGACCUGAGAGGGUGAUCGGCCACACUGGGACUGAGACACGGCCCAGACUCCUACGGGAGGCAGCAGUAGGGAAUCUUCGGCAAUGGGGGGAACCCUGACCGAGCAACGCCGCGUGAGUGAAGAAGGUUUUCGGAUCGUAAAGCUCUGUUGUAAGAGAAGAACGGGUGUGAGAGUGGAAAGUUCAC
rnacentral:rRNA from 1 species